rnacentral:lncRNA from 1 species
AUCAAGCUGUUUUUCCCCAGAAGAUAGUUAUUUGCAGAGACAACUUAAGGACUUUGAAUGAUUUUCAAAAAUUGUUAGGUGAUAUUAAUUGGCUUUGCCCCUAUUUAAAGCUUACUACAGGGGAGUUGACACCUUUAUUUGCUAUUCUUAUAGGGAGUUCUGAUCCUACCUCCCCUAGAUCUCUAGCCUCAGAAAGAUUGCUGGCCUUACAACAAGUGGAAAAGGCUAUUGAAGAGCAAUUUGUUACUUAUAAAGAUUACUCUUUGCCUUUCCAUCUGCAAAUUUUUAAUAUGAUUCAUGUGCCUACAAGAUUGUUAUGGCAAAAGUCUCCUCUAAUGUGGAUACAUUCGAGGAUUUUUCCUAAACGUAAUAUCUUGCCAUAUUUUGAAGCAGUAGCCCAGAUGAUUAUCCUUGGUAGGAAACAGACACUAAACUAAUUUAUUUUAACAAAGAGCCAGAUAUUAUUGUUCAGCCUUACAGCAUAAGUCAAGACACUUGGCUGAAACAGGACAGUAGAGAUUGGUUGCUUGUUCAAAUAGGGUUUAAUGGAACUAUAGACAGCCACUACCCUCAAGAUAUGUUGAUAAAAUUUUUGAAUGCACAUGAGGUGAUAUUUCCUAAUAUGAUCUCUUUACAACCCUUACACAAUGCUGUUCUGGUGUUUACUGAUGGCUCCUCUAAAGGACGAGCUGGAUUUCUUAUAAUCAACAGGUAAUCAUAAAGACUCCUGACCUCUCAGCUCAAUUAGCAGAAUUAACAGCAGUACAGAAUGUCUUUCAGUCUGUACAUGAGGCUUUUAAUAUUUUUACUGAUAGUUUAUAUGUUGUACAAUCGGUACCCUUAUUCAAGAUCUGUGAUACGUGUAACUUUAAUACACCAGCAAGAUCCCUGUUUUCACAAUUGCAAAACAUCAUUCUUGCCUGAAAACACCCAUUCUAUAUUGGCCACAUAUGAUCUCAUUCUGGUCUUCCUGGAUUUUUAGCUGAAGGCAAUGAUUAUAUCGACAGAGCUCUAAUAGGAAAAGUCUUAAUUUCAGAUCCUGUUGCUUUGGCCAAAUGUGAUCAUGAAAAAUUUAAUCUCUCUAGCAAUACCUUAAGGCUCCAACACAAGAUCACUAAGAAGCAGGCAAAAAUGAUUGUAAAACAAUGUCCUAAAUGUAUUACAUUCUCUCCAGUGCCACAUUUAGGAGUUAAUCCAGGAGGUCUUAUGCCUAAUCAUAUUUGGCAAAUGGAUAUAACUCAUUAUACGUAAUUUAGAAAAUUAAAAUAUAUACAUGUUUGUAUUGAUACUUGUUCAAGAUUUCUUUUUGCUUCUCUGAAUACUGUAAAAGCCUCCUAAAAUAUAAUUGAUCAUUGCCUACAAGCCUUUAAUGCCAUGGGAUUGCCUAAAUGUAUUAAGACAGAUAAUGGGCCAUCCUAUUCUAGCAAAAUUUUUACUUCAUUUUGUAAAGAAUUUGUUAUCAAACAUAAAACUAGAAUUCCUUAUAACCCCAUGGGACAAGAAAUAGUUGAAUGUGCUCAUCACACUUUAAAAAAUUGACUUUUAAAAACAAGACAGGGGAUCUUGGUUCUGGGACUCUGCUGAGAGUAGUGUGCACAGGUGAGAGUGUGGACUACAGAAGCUAACAGCUUCUGUGACAGGCCGAAGCAACACAGCUUCUGGGAAAGGUCCUGUUUUGGGCCUACAUCUUCGGCCAGGAGGCAGGCCCGAAUGCCAGAUAUCUAGGCACCUUCCCUGUGAGAGGAGAGCUUGCCUGAAGAGAGAGCUCUGACCACUGAAACUCAGAGGAGAGAGCUGGUCUCCCAGGUCUGCUGAUAGAGUGUAAUAGAAUCACGAGAGGAACAAUCUCAAACCUGAGACAACUAUAACAACUAACUCCAGAGUUUAAGAUGGCAAAAGGUAAACGUAAUAAUCUUAAUAACAGAAAACAAGACCACUCACCAUCAUCAGAACCCAGCACUCCCACCUUGCCCAGUCCAGGGCACCCCAACACACCCGAAAAGCUAGACCUAGAUUUAAAAGCACAUCUCAUGAUGAUGAUAGAGGACAUCAAGAAGGACUUUAAUAACUCACUUAAAGAAAUACAGGAGAACCCUGCUAAAUAGGUGGAAGACCUUAAAGAGGAAGCACAUAAAUCUCUUAAAGAAUUGCAGGAAAACACGACC